rnacentral:misc_RNA from 1 species
GAUGAAGAACUUAGCGAAAUGCGAUAAGUAGUGUGAAUUGCAGAAUUCAGUGAAUCAUCGAAUCUUUGAACGCACAUUGCGCCCCUUGGUAUCCCGAGGGGCAUGCCUGUUCGAGCGUCAUUUCACCACUCAAGCCUGGCUUGGUGUUGGGCGACGUCCCCUUUGGGGACGCGCCUCGAAACGCUCGGCGGCGUGGCACCGGCUUUAAGCGUAGCAGAAUCUUUCGCUUUGGAAGUCGGGGCCCCGUCUGCCGGAAGACCUACUCGCAAGGUUGACCUCGGAUCAGGCAGGGAUACCCGCUGAACUUAAGCAUAUCAAUAAGCGGAGGA